CAGAGUUGCAAGACUCCCUAAACCAUUGUGAACCUACCUUCUACCGUUGCUUCGGCGGGCGGGCCCAGCGCCCCCCCCCGGCCCCCCGCGGGCGCCCGCCGGAGGAUACCCAAACUCUUGACAUUAGUGGCCUCUCUGAGUAUUCCUUACUGAAUAAGUCA
rnacentral:misc_RNA from 1 species